CACGGGUGAGUAACACGUAUCCAACCUGCCGUCUACUCUUGGACAGCCUUCUGAAGGAAGAUUAAUACAAGAUGGCAUCAUGAGUUCACAUGUUCACAUGAUUAAAGGUAUUCCGGUAGACGAUGGGGAUGCGUUCCAUUAGAUAGUAGGCGGGGUAACGGCCCACCUAGUCUUCGAUGGAUAGGGGUUCUGAGAGGAAGGUCCCCCACAUUGGAACUGAGACACGGCCAA
rnacentral:rRNA from 1 species